rnacentral:rRNA from 1 species
AUUGAACGCUGGCGGCAGGCCUAACACAUGCGAGUCGAACGGCAGCACAGAAGAGCUUGCUCUUUGGGUGGCGAGUGGCGGACGGGUGAGUAAUGUCUGGGAAACUGCCCGAUGGAGGGGGAUAACUACUGGAAACGGUAGCUAAUACCGCAUAACGUCGCAAGACCAAAGUGGGGGACCUUCGGGCCUCACACCAUCGGAUGUGCCCAGAUGGGAUUAGCUAGUAGGUGGGGUAAUGGCUCACCUAGGCGACGAUCCCUAGCUGGUCUGAGAGGAUGCCCAGCCAGACUGGAACUGAGACACGGUCCAGACUCCUACGGGAGGCAGCAGUGGGGAAUAUUGCACAAUGGGCGCAAGCCUGAUGCAGCCAUGCCGCGUGUAUGAAGAAGGCCUUCGGGUUGUAAAGUACUUUCAGCGGGGAGGAAGGCGGUGAGGUUAAUAACCUUGCCGAUUGACGUUACCCGCAGAAGAAGCACCGGCUAACUCCGUGCCAGCCGCGGCCGCAG